rnacentral:lncRNA from 1 species
GAGAAACAAUGAACGCAAGAGAAGGAAUCAAUCCAAGCAUGCUUAGCGCUGCGUAAUAUGGCUCAAUCACAAUCUGGCCACCCCAGGCUCCCUUGCAUAUCAUACGUGAAUGGUAUGAGGAAAGACAUACAACAUAAUAUGGAUGCAAGCCGGCCGUCGACCAUGAAGGAGCACGGGCGCUGCCGGCCGUCACCGAGGGAAAGCCACGGGCGCCGCCGGCCGCCGCCGAGGGAGAGCCACG